rnacentral:tRNA from 1 species
UUAAGAUCCAUUCAUAAAGCAUAUGGCUUUUUUUAGAA